AUCAAUAAGCGGAGGAAAAGAAACCAACAGGGAUUGCCUCAGUAACGGCGAGUGAAGCGGCAACAGCUCAAAUUUGAAAGCUGGCUCUCGGGCCCGCGUUGUAAUUUGCAGAGGAUGCUUCGGGUGCAGUGCUGGUCUAAGUUCCUUGGAACAGGACGUCAUAGAGGGUGAGAAUCCCGUAUGUGACUGGUGGCGUGCGCCUGUGUGAAGCUCCUUCGACGAGUCGAGUUGUUUGGGAAUGCAGCUCUAAUCGGGUGGUGUACUUCAUCUAAAGCUAAAUACCGGCCAAAGACCGAUAGCGCACAAGUAGAGUGAUCGAAAGAUGAAAAGCACUUUGAAAAGAGAGUUAAACAGUACGUGAAAUUGUUGAAAGGGAAGCGUUUGCAAUCAGACUUGUACAGCGCCGAUCAGCCUGGGUUCUCCCUGGUGCACUCGGCGCUGCGCAGGCCAGCAUCAGUUUCAGCGGCUGGAUAAAGGCCUAGGGAAUGUGAGUUGCUUCGGCGACUGUUAUAGCCCUAGGCGCCAUGCAGCCUGUGGGGACUGAGGACCGCGCUUCGGCUAGGAUGCUGGCGUAAUGGUUACAAACGACCCGUCUUGAAACACGGACCAAGGAGUCUAACAUCUAUGCGAGUGUUUGGGCGUCAAACCCAUAUGCGGAAUGAAAGUGAACGGAGGUGAGAACCCUUAAGGGUGCAUCAUCGACCGAUCCUGAUGUCUUCGGAUGGAUUUGAGUAAGAGCAUAGCUGUUGGGACCCGAAAGGUUAGUGCUCUCCCUCCCCCUCUCCUCUUGAUUACGUAAUACUAACAGUGAAUUGUAGAUGGUGAACUAUGCCUGAAUAGGGUGAAGCCAGAGGAAACUCUGGUGGAGGCUCGCAGCGGUUCUGACGUGCAAAUCGAUCGACAAAUUUGGGUAUAGGGGCGAAAGACUAAUCGAACCAUCAGGCUACCCUAGGUGGUUGAGAGGCCUGCGAGGCCUAGUCGUCUAGGCGGCAAUACUGCAAAAUUGCGGGGACUGCUCGAGAGGUGCAGGCUACCACAGCAGGCUCGAAAGGGCCUGCCACGGUCACAAGGCCUGACAGCUGAGCUGAUCCGCAACCCUAGCCUAAGGCUGUAUCCCCUCUUUGGGGCAGCGAUGGCGGAGGGCUCAUCGACUAGAUGGCAGUAGGUAGGGGGGUUAUCUCCCCCCUAGCUUAAGGGAUAGUCAGCCUGCAGCGGGGAUGCUGUAGAGGAUGCGCUAGUAGCUGGUUCACGCCGAAGUUUCCCUCAGGAUAGCAGUGUUGAAUUCAGUUUUAUGAGGUAAAGCGAAUGAUUAGAGGCCUUGGGGUUGAAACAACCUUAACCUAUUCUCAAACUUUAAAUAUGUAAGAAGUCCUUGUUGCUUAAUUGAACGUGGACAUUCGAAUGUACCAACACUAGUGGGCCAUUUUUGGUAAAAGUUCACCGAUAUACUCUAUAACCCUUCUAUAAUCACCAAUAACUCUGAGGAUUAUUUGGGGCUAAUAGAAAUAUCGCUUGCCAAAGAGAGAAAAAUCUUGACGGAUAUUUUCUAGUCGACUUCACCAUUAGGCAUUGCUAGUGCCCAAGUCUUUAUAUACCUUAAGAUGUGGAGCGGCAACACAACCUGGUUCGAGAGACAUCCUUGACAAAGGACAACCUCGAUGCGAGCUGUAGCUUCUAGCUAGCAGCCGCGGUAACGUGCGGAAAGGUGUGGGUGAAGCUCCCCUGUGGCCAGGGGAGGCUUUGCUUUAGGAACGUACUGUCCCUCGCGCAAGCGAGCUUCUCAGCUGAGUGCUAGCAACACAAGGCCUGGAAGGAGGUUGGUUUUACCAGCUUUGGAGAUAUAAACGAAGCAGAACUGGCGAUGCGGGAUGAACCGAACGCGAAGUUAAGGUGCCGGAAUGUACGCUCAUCAGACACCACAAAAGGUGUUAGUUCAUCUAGACAGCAGGACGGUGGCCAUGGAAGUCGGAAUCCGCUAAGGAAUGUGUAACAACUCACCUGCCGAAUGAACUAGCCCUGAAAAUGGAUGGCGCUUAAGCGUACUACCCAUACUUCGCCGCCAGGGUAGAAACGAUGCCCUGGCGAGUAGGCGUGCGUGGGGGUCAGUGACGAAGCCU
rnacentral:rRNA from 1 species